UGAGGCAGGAGAAUUGCUUGAACCCAGGAGGCGGAGGUUGCAGUGAGCCGAGAUCGCGCCACUGUACUCCAGCCUGGGUAACAAGAGCGAAACUCCGUCUC
rnacentral:miRNA from 1 species